CGAUUUUUGCUCGGGAAGAUUUUAGCCUAUUUCGAUUUUUGGGCUAGAUUUCUCGAAAACCGUGAAUCCCACGAGAAAACCGAGGCCACCAGCACGCUCCAUUCGUCGAGAGCUUCGCAACGACAUAAAUUUUGAAUUUUUCCGACACCGUUUUUCGGUAUCCUCGAUUCGCGGAAAUUCGACAGUUGAUCGGGUCUGCAAAUUUCGGGCCAGACAGACCCGUUACCGGAAAAGUCUCCGAAUUGGGCCGAGGUUUUGGCUAGCCCCCCAUUGUCAGACGUCCCGAGCGCGUUCCCGAAGUCGGAAUCGGCAAAGGUGAGCCGGGACAGCCUUCUUCCUCCGCCCAGCCGCCACAGUAAUUUGUCGUCAAGUUUGUGAGUAAAAUAUUAAUUUUAAUUGUAAUUUCGAUAUUAUUAUAUGUUCAGCAUGCCCAUGCAUCACUUAUAUGCAUAUAUUUAUGUAGUUAAACUCUAGGCACGAAUUAUGUUGCAUUCAUAACUGUUAAUGUGCCAUGAGUGUUGUUGUGGUAAUUUGGAGCAGUGUGCGUGCGUUGGCGUGCGUGUGAUGUGGUGUGGACUAUGGAUAGGACGGGGUAGUCACGGCUUGAGUUCUUCGCUGGGACCCGUUCCUUCGAGGGGUAGUCACGGCUUGAGUUCUUCGCUGGGACCCUCGAUUUGGUUUAUUAAGCGAAAGUCCGGCUUGAGUUCUUCGCUGGCACCAGGUUGGAUUUA